AUUGAACGCUGGCGGCAGGCCUAACACAUGCAAGUCGAGCGGGGCGGCGGACGGGGGAGUAAUGCCUAUGAAUCUGCAUGGUAGCGGGGGAGAACGUUAGGAAACGGGCGCUAAUACUGCAUACUAUCAGCUUCGCAUAGGCCGGAUUUGCUAGUGGGUGGGGUAAAGGCCUAACAAGGCGACGAUCCGUAACUGGUCUGAGAGGAUGAUCAGGCACACUGGAACUGAGACACGGUCCAGACUCCUACGGGAGGGAGCAGUUGGGAAUAUUGGACAAUGGGCGAAAGCCUGAUUCAGCCAUGCCGCGGGUGUGAAGAAGGGCUUCGGAUUGUAAAGCACUUUAAGUUGGGAAGCGUUACCAACAGAAUAAGCACCGGCUAACUUCGGGCCAGCAGCCGCGGUAAUAC
rnacentral:rRNA from 1 species